CACCAGAGGGCGCAAUAAGACCUG
rnacentral:tRNA from 1 species